UACUAAGAAAUUUAUUUGUUUUUAUUGUUAAAAUUAGCAUGGGUGACAAAAUAAUCAAACAGUGACAUGUGACGUGUCAUGUGUAAUUCAUGCUGAUGUAUAGGGACCAGUUUUUAAUAGUAAAAAAAUAGAUGAAUUUUUUAAUA
rnacentral:pre_miRNA from 1 species